AGCUUACAUUAACCAAAGCAUGGCACUGAAGAUGCCAAGAUGGCAUUAGUAAACUGCCCGAAGACAAAAGACU
rnacentral:tRNA from 1 species